rnacentral:rRNA from 1 species
UGGGGAAUUUUGGACAAUGGGCGAAAGCCUGAUCCAGCAAUGCCGCGUGUGUGAAGAAGGCCUUCGGGUUGUAAAGCACUUUUGUCCGGAAAGAAAUGGCUCUGGUUAAUACCUGGGGUCGAUGACGGUACCGGAAGAAUAAGGACCGGCUAACUACGUGCCAGCAGCCGCGGUAAUACGUAGGGUCCAAGCGUUAAUCGGAAUUACUGGGCGUAAAGCGUGCGCAGGCGGUUGUGCAAGACCGAUGUGAAAUCCCCGAGCUUAACUUGGGAAUUGCAUUGGUGACUGCACGGCUAGAGUGUGUCAGAGGGGGGUAGAAUUCCACGUGUAGCAGUGAAAUGCGUAGAGAUGUGGAGGAAUACCGAUGGCGAAGGCCAGCCCCUGGAUAACACUGACGCUCAUGGCACGAAAGCGUGGGAGCAAACAGGAUUAGAUACCCUGGUAGUCCACGCCCUAAACGAUGUCAACUAGUUGUUGGGAUUC